rnacentral:rRNA from 1 species
GUCGCCUCCUAAAAGGUAACGGAGGCGCUCAAAGGUUCCCUCAGAAUGGUUGGAAAUCAUUCAUAGAGUGUAAAGGCAUAAGGGAGCUUGACUGCGAGACCUACAAGUCGAGCAGGGUCGAAAGACGGACUUAGUGAUCCGGUGGUUCCGCAUGGAAGGGCCAUCGCUCAACGGAUAAAAGCUACCCCGGGGAUAACAGGCUUAUCUCCCCCAAGAGUUCACAUCGACGGGGAGGUUUGGCACCUCGAUGUCGGCUCAUCGCAUCCUGGGGCUGUAGUCGGUCCCAAGGGUUGGGCUGUUCGCCCAUUAAAGCGGUACGCGAGCUGGGUUCAGAACGUCGU